CGGAGAUCGCCGUCCUUGCCAUCGUUGUUCGCCGCUGCUCGCUGCGCCGAGCGCGGGGAUGGAGCCGCCGUGGUGCCCUCUUCCUCCUCGCUGAACCGGAGCCGGAGCUGCUCAAGAACGCCGCCGCCGCCAAGACGUACCUGGUGCGCCGCCGUGCACGCCGACGACCUCCGCUUCGCCCCGCCGUCGUCUCCAUCCUCCCCAACUUUUCUCCCUUGACGUGUUCGUCGUUGUGCCACCAGAGGCGCAGCAGCGUCGAUCUUGGUCGAGUUUCGCAGUUUCCUUCAAAGGACCGAGCCCCUCUCUUCAGUUGGCUGGCUGGUUACAUCUGCACCAUAGACGUCGGUACCGAGGAGUACGGCGAGGAGUACGACUACUACCUUGAGGAGGAUCGUGUCGGUUUCUCUUCUUCU